CAGUAUAGUUUGAUCUACAUAAUCACCAAGCUUGGGUUGCUAUUCGUUUACGACUUGGAGAGGGCUACUGCAGUUUACAGAAAUAGAAUCAGUCCAGAUCCAAUUUUCCUAACAUCGGAGGCUUUGUCACUAGGGGGAUUUUACACAAUUAACAGUUGAACAAUUUGGAGCUUGCUGUCAAUCUGGCAAAAAGAGGAAAUCUUCCCGGUGCUGAGAAUCUGGGAUCAUGACGAGGUGACCUUUGGUCUUGCAGCUUGACAAGACAAACGAGGGAGCUCAGAAAUACGCCGAGCUUCUUCACCUUUGCAAGAGGAGAUUCACAGAUUUAGAUAAAUUUCAAACUUGAUCUUUCCAUUUCAGAUAAAUCGUCUACUCUUGGAAGAUGACACUGCUUUGGAUAACCAUAGUUCAAAGUACCGAUCAAUAAUAAAAGAAUUAUGUGCUUUUCUAUGUGAAUGCAAGGAUGUGUUGGAUGAGGCAACUACAAUGAAACUUUUAGAAAGGUAACUAUCUACAGGAUCCUAUGUAAGUUAAUCACAUUUUUCAUAAAAGUAUGAAAGCAAUAGCUAAUUCUUUUCUGUUUUAGUUUAGAGCUGUAAUAUAAAUAUCCUGGUAUAUUUGUUGUUUUCAAAUAUCUGACUAUAUAGUCU